AUGCAUCUAGAUUAGAGUUUGAUCCUGGCUCAGAAUCAACGCUGGCGGCGUGCCUCAGACAUGCAAGUCGAACGAUUAAAGCUCUCUUCGGAGAGUGCAUAAAGUGGCGCACGGGUGAGUAACACGUAAGUAAUCUACCUUCGAGUGGGGAAUAACGUCCGGAAACGGACGCUAAUACCGCAUAAUGCAGCGGCACCUAAUGGUGACAGUUGUUAAAGGAGCAAUCCGCUUGAAGAGGAGCUUGCGGCAGAUUAGGUAGUUGGUAAGGUAAUGGCUUACCAAGCCUGCGAUCUGUAACCGGUCUUAGAGGACGGUCGGUCACACUGACACUGAAUAACGGGUCAGACUCCUACGGGAGGCAGCAGUCGGGAAUUUUGGGCAAUGGGCGAAAGCCUGACCCAGCAACGCCGCGUGAAGGAUGAAGUAUUUCGGUAUGUAAACUUCGAAAGAAUGGGAAGAAUCAAUGACGGUACCAUUUAUAAGGUCCGGCUAACUACGUGCCAGCAGCCGCGGUAAUACGUAGGGACCAAGCGUUGUUCGGAUUUACUGGGCGUAAAGGGCGCGUAGGCGGCAAUUCAAGUCAGCUGUGAAAUCUCUGGGCUUAACCCAGAACGGCCAGCUGAUACUGCUUUGCUAGAGUGCAGAAGGGGCAAUCGGAAUUCUCGGUGUAGCGGUGAAAUGCGUAGAUAUCGAGAGGAACACCUGAGGUGAAGACGGGUUGCUGGGCUGACACUGACGCUGAGGCGCGAAAGCCAGGGGAGCAAACGGGAUUAGAUACCCCGGUAGUCCUGGCCCUAAACGAUGAAUACUUGGUGUCUGGAGUUAUUAGUGCUCCGGGUGCCGUCGCUAACGUUUUUAGUAUUCCGCCUGGGGAGUACGCUCGCAGAGUGAAACUCAAAGGAAUUGACGGGGACCCGCACAGCGGUGAGCAUGU
rnacentral:rRNA from 1 species